rnacentral:misc_RNA from 1 species
GAUGAAGAACGCAGCGAAAUGCGAUAAGUAAUGUGAAUUGCAGAAUUCAGUGAAUCAUCGAAUCUUUGAACGCACAUUGCGCCCGCCAGUAUUCUGGCGAGCAUGCCUGUUCGAGCGUCAUUUCAACCAUCAAGCCCCAGGCUUGUGUUGGAGCCCUGCGGCUGCCGCAGCCUCCCAAAACCAGUGGCGGGCUCGCUAUCACACCGAGUGCAGUAGUUUACUCUUCGCUCAGGGCGUGUGGCGGGUGCUAGCCGUGAAACCCCCAACUUCUCAAGGUUGACCUCGGAUCAGGUAGGAAUAGCCGCUGAACUUAAGCAUAUCAAUAAGCGGAGGA